GGUUAAGCGACUAAGCGUACACGGUGGAUGCCCUGGCAGUCAGAGGCGAUGAAGGACGUGCUAAUCUGCGAUAAGCGUCGGUAAGGUGAUAUGAACCGUUAUAACCGGCGAUUUCCGAAUGGGGAAACCCAGUGUGAUUCGUCACACUAUCAUUAACUGAAUCCAUAGGUUAAUGAGGCGAACCGGGGGAACUGAAACAUCUAAGUACCCCGAGGAAAAGAAAUCAACCGAGAUUCCCCCAGUAGCGGCGAGCGAACGGGGAGCAGCCCAGAGCCUGAAUCAGUGUGUGUGUUAGUGGAAGCGUCUGGAAAGGCGCGCGAUACAGGGUGACAGCCCCGUACACAAAAAUGCACAUGCUGUGAGCUCGAUGAGUAGGGCGGGACACGUGGUAUCCUGUCUGAAUAUGGGGGGACCAUCCUCCAAGGCUAAAUACUCCUGACUGACCGAUAGUGAACCAGUACCGUGAGGGAAAGGCGAAAAGAACCCCGGCGAGGGGAGUGAAAAAGAACCUGAAACCGUGUACGUACAAGCAGUGGGAGCACAGAGCAAUCUGUGUGACUGCGUACCUUUUGUAUAAUGGGUCAGCGACUUAUAUUCUGUAGCAAGGUUAACCGAAUAGGGGAGCCGAAGGGAAACCGAGUCUUAACUGGGCGUUAAGUUGCAGGGUAUAGACCCGAAACCCGGUGAUCUAGCCAUGGGCAGGUUGAAGGUUGGGUAACACUAACUGGAGGACCGAACCGACUAAUGUUGAAAAAUUAGCGGAUGACUUGUGGCUGGGGGUGAAAGGCCAAUCAAACCGGGAGAUAGCUGGUUCUCCCCGAAAGCUAUUUAGGUAGCGCCUCGUGAAUUCAUCUCCGGGGGUAGAGCACUGUUUCGGCAAGGGGGUCAUCCCGACUUACCAACCCGAUGCAAACUGCGAAUACCGGAGAAUGUUAUCACGGGAGACACACGGCGGGUGCUAACGUCCGUCGUGAAGAGGGAAACAACCCAGACCGCCAGCUAAGGUCCCAAAGUCAUGGUUAAGUGGGAAACGAUGUGGGAAGGCCCAGACAGCCAGGAUGUUGGCUUAGAAGCAGCCAUCAUUUAAAGAAAGCGUAAUAGCUCACUGGUCGAGUCGGCCUGCGCGGAAGAUGUAACGGGGCUAAACCAUGCACCGAAGCUGCGGCAGCGACGCUUAUGCGUUGUUGGGUAGGGGAGCGUUCUGUAAGCCUGUGAAGGUGUACUGUGAGGUAUGCUGGAGGUAUCAGAAGUGCGAAUGCUGACAUAAGUAACGAUAAAGCGGGUGAAAAGCCCGCUCGCCGGAAGACCAAGGGUUCCUGUCCAACGUUAAUCGGGGCAGGGUGAGUCGACCCCUAAGGCGAGGCCGAAAGGCGUAGUCGAUGGGAAACAGGUUAAUAUUCCUGUACUUGGUGUUACUGCGAAGGGGGGACGGAGAAGGCUAUGUUGGCCGGGCGACGGUUGUCCCGGUUUAAGCGUGUAGGCUGGUUUUCCAGGCAAAUCCGGAAAAUCAAGGCUGAGGCGUGAUGACGAGGCACUACGGUGCUGAAGCAACAAAUGCCCUGCUUCCAGGAAAAGCCUCUAAGCAUCAGGUAACAUCAAAUCGUACCCCAAACCGACACAGGUGGUCAGGUAGAGAAUACCAAGGCGCUUGAGAGAACUCGGGUGAAGGAACUAGGCAAAAUGGUGCCGUAACUUCGGGAGAAGGCACGCUGAUAUGUAGGUGAAGUCCCUCGCGGAUGGAGCUGAAAUCAGUCGAAGAUACCAGCUGGCUGCAACUGUUUAUUAAAAACACAGCACUGUGCAAACACGAAAGUGGACGUAUACGGUGUGACGCCUGCCCGGUGCCGGAAGGUUAAUUGAUGGGGUCAGCGCAAGCGAAGCUCUUGAUCGAAGCCCCGGUAAACGGCGGCCGUAACUAUAACGGUCCUAAGGUAGCGAAAUUCCUUGUCGGGUAAGUUCCGACCUGCACGAAUGGCGUAAUGAUGGCCAGGCUGUCUCCACCCGAGACUCAGUGAAAUUGAACUCGCUGUGAAGAUGCAGUGUACCCGCGGCAAGACGGAAAGACCCCGUGAACCUUUACUAUAGCUUGACACUGAACAUUGAGCCUUGAUGUGUAGGAUAGGUGGGAGGCUUUGAAGUGUGGACGCCAGUCUGCAUGGAGCCGACCUUGAAAUACCACCCUUUAAUGUUUGAUGUUCUAACGUUGACCCGUAAUCCGGGUUGCGGACAGUGUCUGGUGGGUAGUUUGACUGGGGCGGUCUCCUCCUAAAGAGUAACGGAGGAGCACGAAGGUUGGCUAAUCCUGGUCGGACAUCAGGAGGUUAGUGCAAUGGCAUAAGCCAGCUUGACUGCGAGCGUGACGGCGCGAGCAGGUGCGAAAGCAGGUCAUAGUGAUCCGGUGGUUCUGAAUGGAAGGGCCAUCGCUCAACGGAUAAAAGGUACUCCGGGGAUAACAGGCUGAUACCGCCCAAGAGUUCAUAUCGACGGCGGUGUUUGGCACCUCGAUGUCGGCUCAUCACAUCCUGGGGCUGAAGUAGGUCCCAAGGGUAUGGCUGUUCGCCAUUUAAAGUGGUACGCGAGCUGGGUUUAGAACGUCGUGAGACAGUUCGGUCCCUAUCUGCCGUGGGCGCUGGAGAACUGAGGGGGGCUGCUCCUAGUACGAGAGGACCGGAGUGGACGCAUCACUGGUGUUCGGGUUGUCAUGCCAAUGGCACUGCCCGGUAGCUAAAUGCGGAAGAGAUAAGUGCUGAAAGCAUCUAAGCACGAAACUUGCCCCGAGAUGAGUUCUCCCUGACUCCUUGAGAGUCCUGAAGGAACGUUGAAGACGACGACGUUGAUAGGCCGGGUGUGUAAGCGCAGCGAUGCGUUGAGCUAACCGGUACUAAUGAACCGUGAGGCUUAACCUU
rnacentral:rRNA from 1 species